rnacentral:rRNA from 1 species
GAUUAACGCUGGCGGUACGUCUAAUACAUGCAAGUCGAACGGAGCACUUGUGCUCAGUGGCGAACGGGUGAGUAACACGUAGGUAACCUGCCCUUAAGACGAGGAUAACUCUUGGAAACGAGAGCUAAUACUGGAUUGGAAGCGGACUCGGCAUCGAGACCGUUUAAAAGAUGCGAUUAGCAUCGCUUAAGGAGGGGCCUGCGGCGCAUUAGUUAGUUGGUGAGGUAACGGCCCACCAAGACAAUGAUGCGUAGCUGGACUGAGAGGUUGAACAGCCACACUGGGACUGAGAACGGCCCAGACUCCUACGGGAGGCAGCAGUAGAGAAUCUUCGGCAAUGGGGGGAACCCUGACCGAGCGAUACCGCGUGAUCGAAGAAAUACUUCGGUAUGUAAAGAUCUUUUACAAAGGAUGAAUGGUUCUGAUAGGAAAUGAUCAGAAAGUGACAGUACUUUAGGAAUAAGCCCCGGCUAACUAUGUGCCAGCAGCCGCGGUAAUACAUAGGGGGCAAGCGUUAUCCGGAAUUAUUGGGCGUAAAGGGUGCGUAGGCGGCUAUUUAAGUUCAUGGUCUAAAUUCAAGGCUCAACCUUGAAUCGCUUUGAAAACUGGAUAGCUUGAGAGAGGUAGAGGCAAGUGGAAUUCCAUGUGUAGCGGUAAAAUGCGUAAAUAUAUGGAGGAACACCAGUGGCGAAGGCGGCUUGCUGGGCCUUAUCUGACGCUGAUGCACGAAAGCGUGGGGAGCAAACAGG